ensembl:snRNA U6 U6 spliceosomal RNA
GUGCUCGCUUCAGCAGCACACAUACUAAAAUUGGAAUGACACAGAGAGAUUAGCAUGGCCCUGUGCAAGGAUGAUACGCGAAUUCAUGAAGCGUUCCAUAUUUUU